AUGGGGCAUGUCAGCGUUCGGCUCCGACGCCUUCGUGCACCGCGAGCUCCGCAGCCUGCUCAGACAACUUACUCGUGUCCAAACCUCCACACUCCGUGCAACGCGAGCUCCGGGAGCAGUCGCAGUGCGACCAGGAGGACCAACACAUCAGUGAAGGACGUUUUGGAGGAGUGGCAUCGGGUGUGGAAGCAGCAACGGAGGACGGGGACGGCUCCACAAGCAGCAACAAGGAAAGUUCGUGCUCAGGUGGAGUUGUGCAAGGACAUGAGAAGCUUGGAUGAUUCUCAUGCUCAGACGCUUCAUCACUAG
rnacentral:rRNA from 1 species